UACGUAGGGAGCGAGCGUUGUUCGGAGUUACUGGGCGUAAAGCGUGCGUAGGCGGUGUCUUAAGUUUGUUGUGAAAUCUCCCGGCUUAACCGGGAGGGUGCGGCGAAUACUGAGAUGCUGGAGUGCCGGAGAGGUAAGCGGAAUUCCUGGUGUAGCGGUGAAAUGCGUAGAUAUCAGGAGGAACACCUGCGGUGUAGACGGCUUACUGGACGGUAACUGACGCUGAGGCACGAAAGCGUGGGUAGCAAACAGG
rnacentral:rRNA from 1 species